CCAGACUCCUACGGGAGGCAGCAGUGGGGAAUAUUGCACAAUGGGCGAAAGCCUGAUGCAGCGACGCCGCGUGAAGGAUGAAGUAUUUCGGUAUGUAAACUUCUAUCAGCAGGGAAGAAAAUGACGGUACCUGACUAAGAAGCCCCGGCUAACUACGUGC
rnacentral:rRNA from 1 species